rnacentral:rRNA from 1 species
AGUGGAAAAAGGAAAAUGGCGUGGCUUAGUUGGGAGAAGAUGAGACUUCCGAAAGCCAUGGGCGGCAUGGGCUUCAGAGAUAUGAGAGCUUUCAACCAGGCUCUUCUUGCUAAACAAGCUUGGAGGCUUAUUGAAACACCUGAUAGUUUGUGUGCUAGACUGCUGAAAGCCAAGUACUUCGUUGCGGGCCAUCUUCUUGAUACAGUAUUCACAGGUAAUGGCUCGGCGGUGUGGAAGGGAAUUUUGCAUGGG